GUGGGGAAUAUUGGACAAUGGGCGCAAGCCUGAUCCAGCCAUGCCGCGUGAGUGAUGAAGGCCCUAGGGUUGUAAAGCUCUUUCACCGGUGAAGAUAAUGACGGUAACCGGAGAAGAAGCCCCGGCUAACUUCGUGCCAGCAGCCGCGGUAAUACGAAGGGGGCUAGCGUUGUUCGGAAUUACUGGGCGUAAAGCGCACGUAGGCGGACAUUUAAGUCAGGGGUGAAAUCCCGGGGCUCAACCCAGGAACUGCCUUUGAUACUGGGUGUCUGGAGUAUGGAAGAGGUAAGUGGAAUUCCGAGUGUAGAGGUGAAAUUCGUAGAUAUUCGGAGGAACACCAGUGGCGAAGGCGGCUUACUGGUCCAUUACUGACGCUGAGGUGCGAAAGCGUGGGGAGCAAACAGGAUUAGAUACCCGUGUAGUCC
rnacentral:rRNA from 1 species